GAUGAAGAACGCAGCGAAAUGCGAUAAGUAAUGUGAAUUGCAGAAUUCAGUGAAUCAUCGAGUCUUUGAACGCACAUUGCGCCCCCUGGUAUUCCGGGGGGCAUGCCUGUCCGAGCGUCAUUGCCGCCCUCAAGCACGGCUUGUGUGUUGGGCCCCCGCCCCCCGGCUUCGGAGGGCGGGCCCGAAAGGCAGCGGCGGCACCGCGUCCGGUCCUCGAGCGUAUGGGGCUUCGUCACCCGCUCUGUAGGCCCGGCCGGCGCCCGCCGGCGACCCCAAUCAAUCUUUCCAGGUUGACCUCGGAUCAGGUAGGGAUACCCGCUGAACUUAAGCAUAUCAAUAACGGAGGA
rnacentral:misc_RNA from 1 species